UUGAAAAAAAAAGAUAUCCCUACGGUAAAGAAGCCCUUCUUUUUCUUCUCUUACAACCAAGAGCCACUCUUAUAACUCUGGACUCGUUUACACUCGUACCUAAGGGUUGAAUCACCGGUGGCACUUUCCACUUUCUUCCCUUCCUUGCCACGAAGCCUCGAUUUCGGAUUUCACCUUCGAAACGCUUGAAAGCGUUUGAAAGCGCGUGGGAGAAAAUGUCAUCCUUGUCGGAAAUUAGAGAGGACGCGAGGUGAAGAGGGGUGAACUGCGCGUGGCCGCUGUUUGUCGCUAUUUCGUGAGCGCUCACGAGAGCCUCGUUGCCGUUGGUCUUGUGGGUAAACUUAUCGGGGAUUCAUGAUUUUGCGAAGGACGAAAAGGUUUCGGAAAACGGCUUUUUUACCAAAAGGAGGGGAGAAGUUUAUUGUAUCCGCUUUGGUCGAGGUGAAAGUCUUACAAAGGUACGUCGGUAAGUGAUGGUUGUGAUGGUGGUUGGUGUGGUUGCUAAAGGCAGAGAUGGAUGAAGACCAGUGGAUGCAUGACAGUAUAAUGUCUGAAGAAGUUGAUAUGAAUGAACAAAAUGAAGAUGAAGCCGGUCUAAAAUCAAAACAUAUUGACUGUUCUGAUGUCUUCAGUACUUCUCAGGAUCAGUAUAUUCAUUGGCAUAGAGUAAAGGAUGAAGAUGUCGUACAUGAUAUCUUUUGGUGUCAUCCUGAUGCAGUGAAGCUAUGCAAUGCCUGUAAUUUGACAGUUCUCGUUGUGGAUGUGUAAUGAGAACUACUCAUGGUCUUCCUUGUGCAUGCAAGUUAGCUAGAUAUGUUGUCGAUAGCAUACCUUUGGGUGUAAUCCAUAUGUUUUGACGAAGACUAAGUUUUUCAGACCAAGGGUUAUCUGAGCCCGAAGCCAAAAUAACCGAAGAGAUGGAAACCAUAUCCAAGCGGUUUGAAGAACUUAAUGUUUGUGGCAAAGUUACUCUAAAGAGCAAACUUCGGGAAAUUGCCUACCCUACUCUAAACUCUAUGUGUCAUCCUCCAAAAAAGGUCAAAACAAAAGGUGUUCAAAAGAAACCGAUGACCAAACAUCAAAGAUCAACAAAGGGUGAUUCAUCUUAAUGGAAGUAUGUUGAUGUAUUACAUUCUAUGCAAAAUAGUAAUUCUUCAGUCAAACGUAGUGCAUAAUCAUUUGAGCAAGCAAUUCCAAGAAGGACUAUGUUGAUGUUGGAUCAAUUUCAUUCAUGCAAUCAUGAUUCCAUUGAAAAUAUUGUUGAUGUCAAAGUCGAUGGUAACUGUGGAUAUCGUGCAAUUGUAGUCUUAUUAGGUAUGGGUGAAGAUUCAGGUCUUUGGUGCGCAACCAUUUGCUUAAAGAACUUGUCAAAUGGUCUAAUGAGUAUAUCAAUCUGCUUGGUGGCAUAAACAAAUUUGAGGAAUUAAAGUGAUCCAUACUUGUUGAUGAAUUAUUCACGGUUACCAUGGAUAAGGGGAUGAAUAUAACUGACAUGGGAUAUGUGAUUGCAUCAAGGUAUAAUGUGAUCCUUGUUUCUCUUUUUCUCCAACAAAGCAUGAUGUUUUUUUCCUCGUAGAAGUCAACCACCAACAUAUUUUUCUGUACAUCGCGUAAUAUGUAUCGGUCAUGUAUAUGACUAUCAUUUUAUUCAGGUAUUUCUAAGAUAUCGCUGUCCCUUACUGCCACUAACUUUCUUAUGGUCUACACAUUGUCAUCCUCAAGCAAAGCAGUGGCUAACACCAUAUAUUAGUAGAAUGCAACAGUACAGAAAUUUGUUGAUGUUGAAAAUAGACUAUGUUGAUUUAAGUGAAGAUUGAACAUUUACUUACUUAUGUAAUUGUCAUGUAAUACAAUAAUAUACAUGUGUUUCAUUGAAUGUUCA